rnacentral:rRNA from 1 species
AUCCUACGGGAGGCAGCAGUCGAGAAUCUUCCGCAAUGCGCGAAAGCGUGACGGAGCAAUGCCGCGUGGUGGAUGAAGGCCUUAGGGUUGUAAACACCUGUCACAUGGGACGAAUUUUGACGGUACCAUGAGAGGAAGCCACGGCUAACUACGUGCCAGCAGCCGCGGUAAUAC